UACUGUACCAGAAGUUGCUGAGUUUUGC
rnacentral:piRNA from 2 species